rnacentral:rRNA from 1 species
AUUGAACGCUGGCGGCAUGCUUUACACAUGCAAGUCGAACGGCAGCACGGGGCAACCUGGUGGCGAGUGGCGAACGGGUGAGUAAUAUAUCGGAACGUGCCCAAUCGUGGGGGAUAACGUAGCGAAAGUUACGCUAAUACCGCAUACGAUCUACGGAUGAAAGCGGGGGAUCGCAAGACCUCGCGCGAAUGGAGCGGCCGAUAUCGGAUUAGCUAGUUGGUGAGGUAAAGGCUUACCAAGGCGACGAUCCGUAGCGGGUCUGAGAGGAUGAUCCGCCACACUGGGACUGAGACACGGCCCAGACUCCUACGGGAGGCAGCAGUGGGGAAUUUUGGACAAUGGGGGCAACCCUGAUCCAGCCAUGCCGCGUGAGUGAAGAAGGCCUUCGGGUUGUAAGCUCUUUCAGACGGAAAGAAAACGCAUCGGUGAAUACCCGGUGUGGAUGACGGUACCGUAAGAAGAAGCACCGGCUAACUACGUGCCAGCAGCCGCGGUAAU